rnacentral:rRNA from 1 species
ACGGGAGGCAGCAGUGAGGAAUAUUGGUCAAUGGACGAGAGUCUGAACCAGCCAAGUAGCGUGAAGGAUGACUGCCCUAUGGGUUGUAAACUUCUUUUAUAUGGGAAUAAAAUGUUCCACGUGUGGGAUUUUGUAUGUACCAUAUGAAUAAGGAUCGGCUAACUCCGUGCCAGCAGCCGCGGUAAUACGGAGGAUCCGAGCGUUAUCCGGAUUUAUUGGGUUUAAAGGGAGCGUAGGUGGAUUGUUAAGUCAGUUGUGAAAGUUUGCGGCUCAACCGUAAAAUUGCAGUUGAAACUGGCAGUCUUGAGUACAGUAGAGGUGGGCGGAAUUCGUGGUGUAGCGGUGAAAUGCUUAGAUAUCACGAAGAACUCCGAUUGCGAAGGCAGCUCACUGGACUGCAACUGACACUGAGGCUCGAAAGUGUGGGUAUCAAACAGGAUUAGAUACCCUGGUAGUCCACACAGUAAACGAUGAAUACUCGCUGUUUGCGAUAUACAGUAA